rnacentral:rRNA from 1 species
AACCAAGGCUGAGGUGUGAUGACGAGGCACUACGGUGCUGAAGUAACAAAUGCCCUGCUUCCAGGAAAAGCCUCUAAGCAUCAGGUAACAUCAAAUCGUACCCCAAACCGACACAGGUGGUCAGGUAGAGAAUACCAAGGCGCUUGAGAGAACUCGGGUGAAGGAACUAGGCAAAAUGGUGCCGUAACUUCGGGAGAAGGCACGCUGGUGUGUAGGUGAAGUCCCUGCGGAUGGAGCUGAGACCAGUCGAAGAUACCAGCUGGCUGCAACUGUUUAUUAAAAACAUAGCACUCUGCAAACACGAAAGUGGACGUAUAGGGUGUGACGCCUGCCCGGUGCCGGAAGGUUAAUUGAUGGGGUUAUCCGUAAGGAGAAGCUCUUGAU